UGGCUCAGGACGAACGCUGGCGGCAGGCCUAACACAUGCAAGUCGAGCGGAUGAGUGGAGCUUGCUCCAUGAUUCAGCGGCGGACGGGUGAGUAAUGCCUAGGAAUCUGCCUGGUAGUGGGGGACAACGUUUCGAAAGGAACGCUAAUACCGCAUACGUCCUACGGGAGAAAGCAGGGGACCUUCGGGCCUUGCGCUAUCAGAUGAGCCUAGGUCGGAUUAGCUAGUAGGUGAGGUAAUGGCUCACCUAGGCGACGAUCCGUAACUGGUCUGAGAGGAUGAUCAGUCACACUGGAACUGAGACACGGUCCAGACUCCUACGGGAGGCAGCAGUAGGAG
rnacentral:rRNA from 1 species